rnacentral:rRNA from 1 species
UGAAGCGGCAAAAGCUCAAAUUUGAAAUCUGGCACUGUCAGUGUCCGAGUUGUAAUUUGAAGAAGGUAUCUUUGGGUCUGGCUCUUGUCUAUGUUUCUUGGAACAGAACGUCACAGAGGGUGAGAAUCCCGUGCGAUGAGAUGUCCCAGACCUAUGUAAAGUUCCUUCGAAGAGUCGAGUUGUUUGGGAAUGCAGCUCUAAGUGGGUGGUAAAUUCCAUCUAAAGCUAAAUAUUGGCGAGAGACCGAUAGCGAACAAGUACAGUGAUGGAAAGAUGAAAAGAACUUUGAAAAGAGAGUGAAAAAGUACGUGAAAUUGUUGAAAGGGAAGGGCUUGAGAUCAGACUUGGUAUUUUGUAUGUUACUCUCUCGGGGGUGGCCUCUACAGUUUACCGGGCCAGCAUCAGUUUGGGCGGUAGGACAAUUGCAAAGAAAUGUGGCACUGCCUCGGUAGUGUGUUAUAGUCUUUGUCGAUACUGCCAGCCUAGACUGAGGACUGCGGCUUCGGCCUAGGAUGUUGGCAUAAUGAUCUUAAGUCGCCCGUCUUGAA